rnacentral:rRNA from 1 species
CUCACCUUCUGGCGAUCCGUCAUGUCCUUUGCUGGCUGUGGCGGGGAACCAGGACUUUUACUUUGAAAAAAUUAGAGUGUUCAAAGCAGGCAUUUGCUUGAAUAGAUUAGCAUGGAAUAAUGGAAUAGGACCUUGGUUCUAUUUUGUUGGUUUCUAGGACCUCGGUAAUGAUUAAUAGGGAUAGUUGGGGGCAUUAGUAUUUAGUAGCUAGAGGUGAAAUUCUUGGAUUUACGAAAGACUAACUUCUGCGAAAGCAUUUGCCAAGGAUGUUUUCAUUAAUCAAGAACGAAAGUUAGGGGAUCGAAGACGAUCAGAUACCGUCGUAGUCUUAACCAUAAACUAUGCCGACUAGGGAUCGGACGAUGUUACUUUUACUGACUCGUUCGGCACCUUAUGAGAAAUCAAAGUUUUUGGGUUCCGGGGGGAGUAUGGUCGCAAGGCUGAAACUUAAAGGAAUUGACGGAAGGGCACCACCAGGAGUGGAGCCUGCGGCUUAAUUUGACUCAACACGGGGAAACUCACCAGGUCCAGACRUAGUAAGGAUUGACAGAUUGAGAGCUCUUUCUUGAUUCUAUGGGUGGUGGUGCAUGGCCGUUCUUAGUUGGUGGAGUGAUUUGUCUGCUUAAUUGCGAUAACGAACGAGACCUUAACCUGCUAAAUAGUUAUGCCAACUUCUGUUGGUAGACAACUUCUUAGAGGGACUGUCGACGAUUAGUGGACGGAAGUUUGAGGCAAUAACAGGUCUGUGAUGCCCUUAGAU